AUUGAACGCUGGCGGCAUGCCUUACACAUGCAAGUCGAACGGUAACAGGUUAAGCUGACGAGUGGCGAACGGGUGAGUAAUACAUCGGAACGUGCCCAGACGUGGGGGAUAGCUCGGCGAAAGCCGGAUUAAUACCGCAUAAGCUCUGAGGAGGAAAGCGGGGGACCGUAAGGCCUCGCGCGUUUGGAGCGGCCGAUGGCAGAUUAGGUAGUUGGUGGGGUAAAGGCUUACCAAGCCUACGAUCUGUAGCUGGUCUGAGAGGACGACCAGCCACACUGGGACAGAGACACGGCCCAGACUCCUACGGGAGGAAGCAGUGGGGAAUUUUGGACAAUGGGCGAAAGCCUGAUCCAGCAAUGCCGCGUGCAGGAUGAAGGCCUUCGGGUUGUAAACUGCUUUUGUACGGAACGAAAAGGCGCCUACUAAUACUGGGUGUUGAUGACGGUACCGUAAGAAUAAGCACCGGCUAACUACGUGCCAGCCGCCGCUGUAAUAC
rnacentral:rRNA from 1 species